ensembl:lncRNA
AGAGUAGACAAGAUUCCUCCAUGUACCAGAACUGCCAUCCUGAGCACUGUUAUCUAUUGCCCCAUGCGGUACAUCCCUUGUGGCACACUCAGGACUUCAAUAUCUCAUUCUCUGUUGGGGGCCUUCGGCUCUGAACCAGCCUGGACUCACUUCCCUGUUCUUCACCUGAGUGGAAGUGAGGAACCCAGAGAUACCUGGGGUGAGACAGGAGGUCGUUGAAGACCCUGGCCCUUCAAAGACCACCUACCUGACUACAAAGCCUCAUCAUGAUGAACAUUUAAGUAAGUAAAUUUCUUAUUGCUAUUUCCUUAGCAUAAAUAGUUACAAAUAUAUUUCAUAGUUCAAACUAUGAACAUGCUCUUAGAAUGUAUUAGAAUAUGUAAAUAUGUGUAUAUUUGCACACUUACA